AUUGAACGCUAGCGGGAUGCCUCACACAUGCAAGUCGAACGGAGUGGCGAACGGGUGAGUAAUGUAUCGGAACGUGCCCAGUAGCGGGGGAUAACUACGGGAAAGAGUAGCUAAUACCGCAUACUAUUGGAGCGGCCGAUAUGGGAUUAGCUAGUUGGUGGGGUAACGGCUCACCAAGGCGACGAUCCGUAGCUGGUUUGAGAGGAUGACCAGCCACACUGGGACUGAGACACGGGCCAGACUCCUACGGGAGGCAGCAGUGGGGAAUAUUGGACAAUGGGGGAAAGCCUGAUCCAGCCAGGCCGCGUGUGUGAAGAAGGCCUUCGGAUUGUAAAGCACUUUUAGCAGGGAAGCGUUACCUAAAGAAUAAGCACCGGCUAACUACGUGCCAGCAGCCGCGGUAAUAC
rnacentral:rRNA from 1 species